CGCGCAGGCGGCCUCUUAAGUCUGAUGUGAAAGCCCCCGGCUCAACCGGGGAGGGCCAUUGGAAACUGGGAGGCUUGAGUAUAGGAGAGAAGAGUGGAAUUCCACGUGUAGCGGUGAAAUGCGUAGAGAUGUGGAGGAAUACCGAUGGCGAAGGCAGCCCCCUGGGACAAUACUGACGCUCAGGCACGAAAGCGUGGGGAGCAAACAGGAUUAGAUACCCUCGUA
rnacentral:rRNA from 1 species